AUUCCGGCCGGGCCGGACCAAUGGGGAGCGCCCAUGCAGCCUCCGGGCCAAUGGAGCCUCCUCUCUUAUCGCGAAGUCCCUUCCUCCAACGCCCUGUUUCCUCUCUCGGGUUUCCUCCUUCCCCCGCGGAGGAGGAAAGAGGAAAGGGGGAGUGUGGCAGGGCGGGUGAUAAUGGGGAGGUAUUAGGGCAUAUAAUGGAGCUGGGGGUAGGCGAAGAAGCGCCAGUACAUAGCGAAGAUUCUGGGAGAGGAGGUGCUCGGAAGAAAGGGCGGGGGCUGCUGAUGUAAUUGGGAGAAGUGAUUAAUCUUGCAUUUUGCCGUUUCAGCCUCCCUCCACCCCAGCCUUCACCUGGUUUUCUUAAACGGAAAGUGGAGUGAGGGAGUCAGUCUUUGGUAACUCGGGAUUUCUGUGCUCGGGCCCACACACUCAAAAAGAGAAACUCCCAAGAGGAAUUACUUUUGUAUCUGUAUCUGGUCCCCUUAGCAUAAUCUCUCCCCAAGGAAAUCGCGUUUCUAUUCCCGGGCUGCCACUGUGAUGGCUGAAAACGCACUCCUCGCUAUUCAUUCGUGAUAGCUCAGCUAGCUAGUGGUUCACUUCUGGAUUCUCUUCUUUUCAGAGCUCUCAGUAAUUUCCUGCUUGAAUUUCAUUGGUUGCUCUCUAGGCUUAAGAUAGAUAAGACAUUACAAAGCUUGAUAAAAGCAAGACCGAGAGGGAGAAACGUGCAUUCUGAGAGAAGCACCAGGAGGGCAGUAAGCCAGUGUUGUGCUGUGUGAGCCCCAGAGUUCUUAGGUGACUCUAGGCAAAUCACCUUUCUGGAUAGCAGACAUCUCUCCUGCCGUUUAAAUAAAACUUUAUCACAUAAUA